rnacentral:tRNA from 1 species
GGCUGUGUAGCUCAGUCGGUUAGAGCGCACCACUCAUAAUGGUGAGGUCGGCGGUUCGAGCCCGCCCACAGCUA